AUAUCAAAACGUUUUUACUUUUAAACACUUAAAAAUCUAUAUUUUUUCCUUUUUAUGACCGGUGGACUAAUAAAUGUGUUAUCAACAACAUUCUCUGUCCUGCUGGUCAUCGCGGACCCGGACUCCAUCAGUCGUCUCGCUCUCCUCUCCGUGUCUGCCUUGUCCAGAAUGUACUCCUGGAAUCGAGACCUCUUGUUACUGGAACAUCAGCUUUGUUUCAGGUUUGCAUCGUGUUAGCCUGUUGAACCAUGGUUGGUUUCCCCACUGGUGGUGAUGUCCCAAAAUGAUGAGAUG